CAGUGCAUUUCAAAUACAAGUUUUGACUUUUGAAUAGGAGCACUCCUAUCAGAUUUUUCAAUAGUUGUUUCCAAAGAUGAUACUGCAAUGACAGCCUAUCACUAGCGUAUCGACAUCUAAUUAAAAACAAGUUACCCAGAAAUGACGUCAUUACCGAGAACGCGAAAGCUGACGCUAGUUUCGAUUUCAGAGAAACAGAAUCGAUUUUUAAGACAGAGGGUUCGAAUAAAUACUAUUCGGUCGAGGAGUUGGAGAGUCCAAAACUUUUUUUCUUAGACAUGGGAAAUUUAAAAGUGUUACUUUUAUGUUAUAGGUAUCAGGCUAUUAUAAUAUUUACCACUCAUUUAGUCCCUGAUGCGGUUCAAAUGCCUUAUUUCACAAUUUCACAAAUCAAUCAGAAACCCGAAUAUUACAAAAUCUGAUUAGUGCAGAUAUCCGGAUACAGCUGAGAGCCUUUCGGGCUUCAUGUAUAAAAUUUGUGCACUUGCUGUUUGUCACAUUCAGUUUGAGAUAGUGUUUCCGUAGGAGAGACGCAGGACUAGGCUGACCAAACUUGACAGAAAAAACACACAGGAAGAGAAACUGGAACAGGUCAUGAUGUCCACCCUCGGCAAACUGAAAGAAUUCCUCACGUGUGGCAUCUGUCUUGGACUGCUCAAGGAGCCGAAGAUUCUAGACUGCUUACACAGGUUUUGUGAAGCAUGCAUUCACAAGCACAUUUUGCAACAAAAUCAAGAACAGUUAAGAUACGAUCAAGGAUUCUGCUGCCCCACCUGCAGACACAAGACAGCGGUCUCCAAUUCCAAGAGAUCUCCUCAAAAAUGGGCCGCUCGCUUGCAGACCGACACUGGUUUCAAGAACCUCGUUCAGUUCGUACAAACCCAAGCUAACAUGCCGCAAGGACAGAAUGUUUUCUCUGGCUCGUAUCAUCUGUGUCCGGUCCACCCAGAUGAAAAGAACGACUUGUACUGCAAUGACUGCGCGUGCGUCAUAUGUCACUUGUGUGCAGGCACGACUCACCGGAAGUGCGCUGAGGUUGUUGUUCUGGUCAACGCCGCUAACGAGAGGCGGCUUAAGGCGCAGGAGAGCGUCCACCAUACGCUAGCCAAGCUGAAAGAAACGUUGACGUCACUGGAGUCAUGUGGUGAACGCGUCAGUGAGAUCAAAGGGCUUCGUACGAACGCUGAAGCCGCCAUCAAGGAAAGGGCAAACACUCUGAAGAAAACACUAGCCCAAGCCGAGGCGAAACUCCUGCAUGUUCUAGAUGAGCGGUGCAAGUCCAUUGAGGAAAACAUCAUAGGGCCUUUGGGCGGAUAUAAUGACAAGUUUGUCACCAUGAAAAAGAAUCUGGCCUCUCUGUCUGGAAAUCUACGGUCCAUUUCCGACCAUGAUCUGCUUUCGGGAGACGUAAUAGAAAAGGCCAAAGGGAGCGUGGACGAUGGAGAUUCUGAAAUCAAGGCCUGCGAAGCUUUGUUAGACGAACUGUCAGAUGUUAGGUUAACCUUUCAGAGUUCAAGCGGGCUCAACAUCAGUCUUGGAACUCUUGUGGCAAUCAGCGAAAGAGAAGACCCCAACAGUUUGGCAGCUCAACAAGCCAAAGGGGAAGUGGCUCUGAGCAAACUGAGAACUCUCAGAGAAGCUGUUGCCACAGGUGGAGUCACCACGGGUGACGACGGUAGCCUAGCAACGCCUGAGUCUGCUGUGAGUGUGAGUGACACCAGCCCGGCUGUGAAAGCAGCUGCUGCAAAAGGCAAGGAUGGAGAUGGGUGUGAGGACGACCUUGACUUUCAUUUUGGAGUGCAGGAAAGCGAUAAACCCACAGCGCCACUACUCAGCCGUCUAAACCAAGCCGUCAAAUUCCCUGCCUCCAAGCGUUCACACUCAGUCUACGAGUAUUUUUCCGCGCGUUCAAGAAAGCAAGUCCCUUUAACUGAAAGCCCUCCCGCUCCUUAGUUCUGCAUUGCCUCUUCCAAUCUGUAUUGUCUCUCAACAAUUCAUAAUUUUAAAAAUUGAACAAAAAUGCCUGAUCAUUUGGGAAUUAAGCUAUACAUACUCCGUAAAUAAGUCAACAUGUUUGCCAGCUGUUUUUAGGUUUGCUGAGAUUCAAAACUUUACUCUUUUUUAUUGCAAUAAAUGAUUAUUUCAAAAUUCAAAUUCUGAAUGUUGUCAAUAGCAAGGAAAGAUGCUUCCUGACUCCAAAAUGUAAAGCCAUAGGUUCGAAUUCCCCGACGUUGUGCACUUGGGAAAGACUCUUUAAGCAAAAUGGUCCUCACUUCACCCAAGUGGGAAUUAGUCGCCCCGGCUACAGACAGCGAAAUAUCUUUUCAGUUUGUUCAUGUUUGGACCCGUGCAACCCACAGCUUCCCAUGGAAGAUGACGAUGUUUCUGAGUCGUCUUCUAGUGUCCGGUUGUGCGUAAUAAUAGUUCCAAAGCGCAAAGAGCGUGUUGUAGAGCGUGGAUAUAUCCUGCAUAAAUACAGUCAUUAUUAUCGCAAUAAUCAUCAUUCUUCUUCUUCUUCUUCUUCUUCUUCUUCUUCUUCUUCUUCUUCUUCUUCUUCCAUAAUGUAGGUACACUUGUUCAAAGAAUGAAAUCGCUUGUUUUUUUCUCACCUGGCAAAAAUUUAGUUUUUGGGUUUAGAACCAUUGAACAACUUGUCAACGACAUGAAAAUAAGACAUCGUACACUCAUGAUUAUAAUCUCAACGCAAACUACACCCAACAAGCUUCUUUAUUGAUGUACAUGUUAACGGACUUUACUUACUUAUUUUACUUAUCCCUUUGUCUAUUCUUUACUAACUCACUCAGAAAAAAAAUGUGGGACUUGUCCAGCACACCGCCUGCCCCAAACGAUCAUUUUUGUUAGAAGUGUUUUUUCUUUUUUUUUCAUUUGCAGUGUUUAUUGCAGUCAUUACCUUCUGAAACAUCUUUCAACUUUCUUUGAUCGUUCAUUUCGUUUGUGUUUUGUAUAGAUUAUUUUCUCAGUGUCAUAAUAUACUGCUUCAUCAUUAACCUAUAACGCGUUAUGAAACCCUAACUUACAUAAAGCCAUAACAUUCCAUAAGAUGAUGCCACUCUUACUUGGUCACCUCUGACCCUCAGCGCAUUGGAAACUGAUGAUGCAACCAUUAUGUCACCAUUGAUCUCUGCAAAAAGGACACUGGAUGAAAACGAUUGGAAGGGUAACAAACAGAAGAGGUUGAAAGAACUGGGGAUGCCUCUACACAUGUCAAGGCACAAAGCGAGCAGGGUAUGAACUUAACGUCCUUUGCCGUUGCCAACUGAUUGGUACAAAAUGCAAUGACACCACAGGUCACUCUCUUGGAAGGAAAAGAGAGCCUACGUAUAUGCCAUGAUAAACAGGAUAGACAAAAAGAGAUCUUACUCAGCAAGUGAAAACCCAAGAAGAAAUUAGACCCUCCAACACCACUUAAAAAGAGUUAACGGUUAAAGAAUUCCUGUUUGUAAAACAAUCUUCAUGAGCAUUACAGGCCUGACCCACUGGUUUAUUUAAAGUGUCUUCUCCGAAAAAAAAAAUCAAGAGCCCCCCAAGAACACAUCAUGCCCACCACGAGAGAGCCAUGGAUGACAAGUUGUUCCAUAAAGAGACAGUUUUUGACAAACUUUCGAAUACAACACCCUGUCUGCAGAUGACAAAAAUCCAGAACACUUCGGAUCUGCACCGAGUAUACUCGGAGAAGGAAAAGGACAAGGAAGCUGCACUGAACUCAGAGAACAAAGUGUGUGUCCUUUGUAUGGAGAUCCAGUGCGUCCUUCUGGCACCAUCACAAAAGACAUCCGCCGUAUAUUAUAAAACAAAACCGGCUGUAUACAAUUUUACGAUUUCGGAUCUUGCCACCAGAGACGCCAGAUGAUAUGUCUGGGAUGAAGGUGGUCUGAGCUCCAACAGUUUCCAUCAUGUCUGACUCACUACCUGAGAUCGCAAGAGACUGACUUUAACCACUUCAUCAUCUGCAGUGAUGGGUGCAAGUACCAAAACAGAAACGCCACCCUGGUGAGUGCAAUGGCCUUGCUGGCCAAAGACUUGACAUCACAGUUGAGCAGAGAUUCUCACCAAGGGCCAUACCCAAAUGGAGGUAGAUUCAGCCCAGGGACCUAUUGAGCUAUCGCAAAAAAACGCCCUGAUUUAUAUCCUAGUGGACUACUUGAGUACCAUACUCCAAGCCAGACGCAUCCUCAGGCCUUAUGAAGUUAUGCACCUGGACCACAGCUUUCUCAAAGAUUUCCCAAAGGUCGGAGAGUACUAAACGAUCCACCGAGGGAGAAGAGCAGGAGACCCUACUGUCACUGACUUGCAGGCAUCAAACAACACUCCAGUCUUUAAACAUCUACAGGAGUUGAAGGCCAUCGUACCACAAUGCUACCACAAUUACUAUGACACUUUGCCUCUGUAAGAAGCUUUGAAAGAGAUCAAGUCAAACUCGAUUAUUGUAGAGUCUUUCAAACAAUGGUGACUUUUUGUCGUAUUGUCUUGUUAUAGCCAUAGGACACAGGGUGAGACAGACAUGCACUUCUAUAGUUGAGAAAACUCAAUAAAGUACUUGUUAUCAAGCAACGCACCU
rnacentral:misc_RNA from 1 species